rnacentral:rRNA from 1 species
CCCCAGUAACGGCGAGUGAAGCGGCAACAGCUCAAAUUUGAAAUCUGGCCCCCCGGCCCGAGUUGUAAUUUGCAGAGGAUGCUUUUGGUGAGGCACCUACCGAGUCCCCUGGAAUGGGGCGCCGCAGAGGGUGAGAGCCCCGUAUGGUAGGACGCCGAGCCUCUGUAAAGCUCCUUCGACGAGUCGAGUAGUUUGGGAAUGCUGCUCUAAAUGGGAGGUAAAUUUCUUCUAAAGCUAAAUACCGGCCAGAGACCGAUAGCGCACAAGUAGAGUGAUCGAAAGAUGAAAAGCACUUUGAAAAGAGGGUUAAAAAGUACGUGAAAUUGUUGAAAGGGAAGCGCUUGUGACCAGACUUGCGCCGGGCGGAUCAUCCAGCGUUCUCGCUGGUGCACUCCGCCCGGCUCAGGCCAGCAUCGGUUUCCGCCGGGGGACAAAGGCUUCGGGAACGUGGCUCUCUUCGGGGAGUGUUAUAGCCCGUCGCGUAAUACCCCGGCGGGGACCGACGACCGCGCUUCGGCAAGGAUGCUGGCGUAAUGGUCAUCAGCGACCCGUCUUGAAACACGGACCGAGGAGUCAAGCAUUAGUGCGAGUGUUUGGGUGUAAAACCCGCACGCGUAAUGAAAGUGAACGUAGGUGAGAGCUUCGGCGCAUCAUCGACCGAUCCUGAUGUUUUCGGAAGGAUUUGAGUAGGAGCAUUAACGCUUGGACCCGAAAGAUGGUGAACUAUACUUGAAUAGGGUGAAGCCAGAGGAAACUCUGGUGGAGGCUCGCAGCGGUUCUGACGUGCAAAUCGAUCGUCAAAUUUGAGUAUA